rfam:Cuculus canorus isolate BGI_N303 unplaced genomic scaffold scaffold15, whole genome shotgun sequence.
AGCACGUGUUCAGUUUUUGUCUGUUGCUGUAGACAAAAACCUGGAACCUGGUGCUUAGAUAAAACCCUUCUUUUGCAACCCACAGCUGAUGAACACCCAUUGGUUGUGUUACAUAUGCGAAGGGACAAU